UUCCGUAGGUGAACCUGCGGAAGGAUCAUUAAUUAUGUUAAAGCGCCUUACCUUAGGGUUUCCUCUGGGGUAAGUGAUUGCUUCUACACUGUGAAAAUUUGGCUGAGAGACUCAGACUGGUCAUGGGUAGACCUAUCUGGGGUUUGAUCGAUGCCACUCCUGGUUUCAGGAGCACCCUUCAUAAUAAACCUAGAAAUUCAGUAUUAUAAAGUUUAAUAAAAAACAACUUUUAACAAUGGAUCUCUUGGUUCUCGCAUCGAUGAAGAACGUAGCAAAGUGCGAUAACUAGUGUGAAUUGCAUAUUCAGUGAAUCAUCGAGUCUUUGAACGCAGCUUGCACUCUAUGGUUUUUCUAUAGAGUACGCCUGCUUCAGUAUCAUCACAAACCCACACAUAACAUUUGUUUAUGUGGUGAUGGGUCGCAUCGCUGUUUUAUUACAGUGAGCACCUAAAAUGUGUGUGAUUUUCUGUCUGGCUUGCUAGGCAGGAAUAUUACGCUGGUCUCAGGAUCUUUUUUUUUGGUUCGCCCAGGAAGUAAAGUACAAGAGUAUAAUCCAGUAACUUUCAAACUAUGAUCUGAAGUCAGGUGGGAUUACCCGCUGAACUUAAGCAUAUCAAUAAGCGGAGGA
rnacentral:rRNA from 1 species